rnacentral:rRNA from 1 species
AGUGGCGGACGGGUGAGUAACGCGUGAGUACCUGCCUUUCGGAGGGGGACAACAGCUGGAAACGGCUGCUAAUACCGCAUAAUGUAUAUUAAGGGCAUCCUUGAUAUACCAAAGAUUUAUCGCCGAAAGAUGGACUCGCGUCUGAUUAGCUAGUUGGUAGGGUAAUGGCCUACCAAGGCUUCGAUCAGUAGCCGGACUGAGAGGUUGAACGGCCACAUUGGGACUGAGAUACGGCCCAGACUCCUACGGGAGGCAGCAGUGGGGAAUAUUGGGCAAUGGGCGCAAGCCUGACCCAGCAACGCCGCGUGAAGGAAGAAGGCUUUCGGGUUGUAAACUUCUUUGACGAGGGACGAAAAAAAUGACGGUACCUCGAAAACAAGCCACGGCUAACUACGUGCCAGCAGCCGCGGUAAUACGUAGGUGGCAAGCGUUAUCCGGAUUUACUGGGUGUAAAGGGCGCGUAGGCGGGAUUGCAAGUCAGAUGUGAAAUGUGAGGGCUUAACCCUCAAGCUGCAUUUGAAACUGUAGUUCUUGAGUAUUGGAGGGGCCAGGCGGAAUUCCUAGUGUAGCGGUGAAAUGCGUAGAUAUUAGGAGGAACACCAGUGGCGAAGGCGGCCUGCUGGACGACAACUGACGCUGAGGCGCGAAAGCGUGGGGAGCAAACAGGAUUAGAUACCCUGGUAGUCCACGCUGUAAACGAUGAAUACUAGGUGUGGGGGGACUACUUCUCCGUGCCGCAGUUAACACAAUAA